CAGCCGCCGCGGGAAUACGUAGGGUGCGAGCGUUAAUCGGAAUUACUGGGCGUAAAGCGUGCGCAGGCGGUUGUGUAAGACAGGUGUGAAAUCCCCGGGCUUAACCUGGGAACUGCGCUUGUGACUGCACAGCUAGAGUAUGGCAGAGGGGGGUGGAAUUCCACGUGUAGCAGUGAAAUGCGUAGAGAUGUGGAGGAACACCGAUGGCGAAGGCAGCCCCCUGGGCCAAUACUGACGCUCAUGCACGAAAGCGUGGGGAGCGAACAGGAUUAGAUACCCGCGUAGUCCCUGUCUCUUAUAA
rnacentral:rRNA from 1 species